UGGGGAAUAUUGCACAAUGGGCGCAAGCCUGAUGCAGCCAUGCCGCGUGUAUGAAGAAGGCCUUCGGGUUGUAAAGUACUUUCAGUCGGGAGGAAGGUGGUAAGGUUAAUAACCUUGGCAAUUGACGCUACCGACAGAAGAAGCACCGGCUAACUCCGUGCCAGCAGCCGCGGUAAUACGGAGGGUGCAAGCGUUAAUCGGAAUUACUGGGCGUAAAGCGCACGCAGGCGGUUGAUUGAGUCAGAUGUGAAAUCCCCGGGCUUAACCCGGGAAUUGCAUCUGAUACUGGUCAGCUAGAGUCUUGUAGAGGGGGGUAGAAUUCCAGGUGUAGCGGUGAAAUGCGUAGAGAUCUGGAGGAAUACCGGUGGCGAAGGCGGCCCCCUGGACAAAGACUGACGCUCAGGUGCGAAAGCGUGGGGAGCAAACAGG
rnacentral:rRNA from 1 species